rnacentral:rRNA from 1 species
UACGUAGGGCGCAAGCGUUGUCCGGAAUUAUUGGGCGUAAAGAGCUCGUAGGCGGUUUGUCGCGUCUGCUGUGAAAACCUAAGGCUCAACCUUGGGCUUGCAGUGGGUACGGGCAGACUAGAGUGCGGUAGGGGUGACUGGAAUUCCUGGUGUAGCGGUGGAAUGCGCAGAUAUCAGGAGGAACACCGAUGGCGAAGGCAGGUCACUGGGCCGCAACUGACGCUGAGGAGCGGAAAGCAUGGGGGAGC